rnacentral:lncRNA from 1 species
UAUACUCUGCCAGAAGUGCGUCUAGCUUACACUAUUCCACACCUGCAUGUGCCAAGCAUAAUACAAGGCAUAGCACCCUUGAAUAUAUUCAAUUAAUGAACCACUUAUACUCUAUCAGGACCUCUCUCCCGUUAUACUGCUGUAGUGCCCAUUGGUCUGCACCUCAUUGCAAGAUUAGCAAGCCAUGAUCCAUGGAAAAUAUAGAGGCCCUAUGGCUUAUAUUGACGCACAUCAGUGAUUUCUGGAAAUGGAUGUAAGAUGGUUAUUGCUCACUGAAACAAUGCAAGUUGGUUUUGUUCCAGUUCUCAAGUAGUCAAAUCUGAAAUUGAAUUAUAGAAUGUUAGGCUGGAUUCGGAAGUAUAGCCCAUUUCAUUUCUGCCGCAAAACCUGCUUUGGGUUCUGUCCCUGUCUUGCAAUAUUUUUUGUAAACAUGGCCAUGAUAAGGGUGCUUGUUAGAACCUGUUUCAGAAAUAAUAAGGUCAAUUUUUGUACUACUUCCCUAGACCCACCGAAUCGAAGGCGCUCCAUGCAGUAAUGACAUUUGUUCCAUCUCCAAAUCUGCAUACUUAUUUGGUCUAUGUUUGACAUGG